UUAGGUCUGUCCCCGCCAAGCUGCUUUCAGUGUAAUACUCCUGUUAUUACCUUCCAUUCAGAAUGUACGCUUGCGCCAAGUUUGUGUCAUCCCCAGCCCUGAUAAGGAAUGGAGCCAGCCAGUAUUCUCUGCCGUCCACUAUCUGCCCCACUUCUGAACUACACCGUACUUAGGACAGAGAUGCAGUUGCUACCUGUUCCAGCCCGAGGGAUCCAGAGCAGUGCAGUGUGCAGGGACAUUGACACUGCUGCUAAGUUCAUUGGCGCUGGUGCUGCCACAGUUGGAGUAGCAGGCUCUGGUGCUGGUAUUGGCACUGUAUUUGUAAGCCUGAUUAUUGGCUAUGCCAGGAACCCCUCUCUCAAGCAGCAGCUUUUCUCCUAUGCCAUCCUUGGAUUUGCUCUGUCCAAAGCUAUGGAACUCUUCUGUC